rnacentral:rRNA from 1 species
CCUGGUUGAUCCUGCCAGUAGUAUAUGCUUGUCUCAAAGACUAAGCCAUGCAUGUCUAAGUAUAAACCAAUCUAUACGGUAAGACUGCGAACGGCUCAUUAAAUCAGUUAGAGUUUAUUUGAUAAUCACUUUCUACUUGGAUAACCGUAGGAAUUCUAGAGCUAAUACAUGCGACAAGCCCUGACUUUUUGGAAAGGGUGUAUUUAUUAGAUUCAAAACCAUCUCACGCUUGCGUGGUUCUUGGUGAUUCAUAAUAACUUAACGAAUCGCAUGACCUUGUGUCGGCGAUGUAUCAUUCAACUUUCUGCCCUAUCAACUUUGGAUGGUAGGAUAGAGGCCUACCAUGGUUGCAACGGGUAACGGGGAAUUAGGGUUUGAUUCCGGAGAGGGAGCCUGAGAAAUGGCUACCACAUCCAAGGAAGGCAGCAGGCGCGCAAAUUACCCAAUCGGAACUCCCGGAGGUAGUGACAAGAAAUAACAAUACGGGACCCAACGGGUUUCGUAAUUGGAAUGAGAACAACUUAAAACCCUUAUCGAGGAUCAAUUGGAGGGCAAGUCUGGUGCCAGCAGCCGCGGUAAUUCCAGCUCCAGUAGCGUAUGCUAAAGCUGCUGCGGUUAAAAAGCUCGUAGUUGAACUUCGGAGUGGGAUGGCUGGUCCGCCACUGGCGUGAACAGCACUCUCACUCUUCCAUCUGAAACACUGUUCUGUCCUUCACUGGGUGGUGCAGCGGUUCAGGUCAUUUACCUUGAAAAAAUUAGAGUGUUCAAAGCAGGCUUUCGCCUUGAAUACAUUAGCAUGGAAUAGUAGAAUAGGACUUUGGUUCUAUUUUGUUGGUUUCUGGAACUGAAGUAAUGAUUAAUAGGGAUAGUUGGGGGCAUUAGUAUUCCAUUGUCAGAGGUGAAAUUCUUAGAUUUAUGGAAGACUAACUACUGCGAAAGCAUUUGCCAAGGAUGUUUUCAUUAAUCAAGAACGAAAGUUUGGGGAUCGAAGACGAUCAGAUACCGUCGUAGUCCAAACCAUAAACUAUGCCGACUAGGGAUUGGAGGACGUCAAACUUAACUCCUUCAGCACCUUAUGAGAAAUCAAAGUUUUUGGGUUCCGGGGGGAGUAUGGUCGCAAGGCUGAAACUUGAAGGAAUUGACGGAAGGGCACCACCAUGGAGUGGAGCUUGCGGCUUAAUUCAACACAACACGGGGAAACUUACCAGGUCCAGACACGACUAGGAUUGACAGAUUGAGAGCUCUUUCUUGAUUUCGUGGAUGGUGGUGCAUGGCCGUUCUUAGUUGGUGGAGUGAUUUGUCUGCUUAAUUGCGUUAACGAACGAGACCUUAACCUACUAAAUAGUCAUGCCAUACUUCGGUAUGGUAGACGACUUCUUAGA